CUUGCUUUAAUCUUGAGGUUGACGGAUGGAUUUUAGCCAUCUAAGGAAGAGUGGUUUUCAUGGGUAGAAAGAUGAUGUACAAAGACUGAAGUUUGUAUUUACUGCUAAGUGGAUAUGUCAUGCUUACAAGCACACUUUAGAUGAUAGCAGCAUGCUCCAUUCUCUGGAGCAAGAAUAAAGUACCGCAUGCCAUCUCUGAUCCACGAACAAUAGAGGCUGAAAUAGAUUUUUCUGUUUCUAUUAAUGCCCAUGCUACUGCCGGACCUGUCAUCAUCUUACACCAGUAGAAAAGGCAGAAAUGUCCUUAAUAUUAGCUGCUUUUCAGCAAGAUAAAAUUAUAUAAUGAGGUUUGCAAAACAGCACCAUCUGAAAUAUUAAUCAGUGAGCAGAUUUUAUACAAGUAAUUAUGAGAAAAGAAAUGAGUUUCUGGGUAAUUUUGUUUAAAACGGCUCUUUUUUUUUCCCCUAAGAUGUCAGCUGUAGGACAGGAUAUUUGCACUGCAGUCACAACCAAUGUUCCUCUAUGUUCUUAUUUAAUGAUAAUAGCAUAGGUUUACAUGUGUUGAAGUGAUGAAAAUGCUGCACUUGUGCCAUUUUGUUUACAACAGCAAAGGUUGCCUGACUAUACAUUAACUUUAUUUUUGCUCUGCUGUAAUAGGAUCCUAAGAGCAGCAGAACGCAUGGAUGUACGUAUGCUCAGUGCACAAAGCUUAAGCAAGAUUGAGUGAGAUGCUAUCUUCAUUGUAGAUCUUACUGGCUGGAGAUUUCAUGUGAACACUCCCUCACAGCCUUUGCUGGAGUUCUGGAGCAAAAGGCUGCCCCCCAAUGGUGCAGCUUUUCACUGCCCCACGCACACACUGAAACAGAUAGCUGUACAUUGCUUAGCAUCUGAUUCUAAGAAUCCUUCCAGGGUUUAUGUAUAAUCUGAAAACGGAGUCUUUGAUGUUGCUUCAUUUCCCAUUUUUCCGUUCCUUUCUUUUUCCGUAUCUCUGCGGCAAUACAACUGCGAUAGCUUGUCUUGUUUUGUGUGUGCCUUUAGUCGGCCAGGAGGGUCUGUGUGCUGCGUAAUGUCAGCCUUGAAGCACAAAUUCAAAGCAGAUCAGAGGACGGAGAGGGUCCAAAGCACACAGAGGUUUGUAGUUCUCUGCACCUCUCCUUGAUAAUCGCUGCCAAGGGAAAAGAGCUGUGACAAACAAACAGAUUUUUCAGCUCGCCACUUCCACUCGGAGGCAUUCAUGAACAUUCAUUCGCUCUCUCUUUUUAUGAAAGCUCUAGAAAUGCUCUACGGACAUGUUGUCUCGCUCUUGUGCCGACAUUCUGAAAUACACACGUUUAACUUAAUCAAAAUGCUUUGUGUCUGCCUCAUUAGAUUAAUAUCCUCCGGACUUUUGCAUUUGAUAAUUGUGAGACUAUGGCACAAAAGUAUAUGCUCCCAGGGCAAAGUUUUCAAUCUUAGUCUCACUAGGUCGCAUAUAAUGAUUUAAUUCCUUUUUAAACAGAAAAUUCAAGCAGGGCAUAUUAAAGUUUUUUUAUUAUUAUUAUUAUUUAAAAAAAAAAAAAAAAAAAAAAAGCCAGUAGACUUUAUAAGUCAACCAUGCCUUGAUUUGCAACUUGCUAGUCAAUGGCAGAUGUUAUUAGGGGGAGGGGCAUUCUCAUGGAGAGCAUUUGAUUGGACAAACAUCUGUUUAGUGCAGGAUGAGUCAUCAAUAUUUUUGCUCCUUUUUCCCGGAAGAGAAAGACAUGAUUACGCUAGCAUAUAGCCUCAAAGCUAAAACAUACAGACUAAAAGCCACAAAACUCUGUUUAAUUUUAUGGGGUCUUGAUAUACUACCUAAUUACUCCAGUUGAUAGUACGUAAUGAGUAUUAUCAUAGUCACGUAUUAUAAGUAUCACUAAAUCAAGGGUUUAUUUGGGUCCUAAAGAAGUGCCUCUUCCCUCGCUCAAAAUCCUCAUUAGAACUUCAACCACAAUGUUUGUUAUGCAAGGUAUGAAGCACUAUAAUUACACCGCUUUGCUAAUGGCCUUAUAUUUUACUUCUCUGGAGACACGUCUGCUAAACAUAGCUGAAGUCAUAAUCUUACAGUGAGCACUUAGCAUUCUCUACAGCAGGAAUGACUGGAUUUAGCAUUUGAAAUACUCUACAAUUUUGCCAUAAACAGUUUGUGGUUUGCCACAAGAAAAAAAAAAAAAAAGCCAUAUCCUCUUGAAAUAAAAAAAUAAAAAAUCACAGUUGUCUGGUUGUUCCAAAGGCCCACACAGUGAACAAGUGCUGAUCUCAUUCUGUAUAAUUUUAACUGCUCGGAUAUUUUUACAAGCAAAAAUGGUAACAGGCUUAAAGAGCUGGGAUUUUAUUCUGAAUAUCCAAUAUAGCAAACAGAUACGAAUAUACAUGCACACAAUUACUUGCAUGCAAAAGACCUCAAAAUGAAUAGUACAGCAUAUGGAGUUGUCUUGAAUGUGUGUGUGCAUGCACAGCUUUUUUCAUGCACUUUCUGUUUGCAUUACCCAACAUGCAUCAAAUAUGCUUGACUAUACUUUUCUAGGUCUUUAGCAUGCAUGUGUAAUUGUGUGCACGCUAUAGGCUCUAGGCGGCAGCCGGCGCAGUCAAAGGCAGUCUAAUAUUAGCACCUCACUGAUGGCUUGCUGUAUCUGGACGAAAGAGGGUGAUAAAUGAGGAUAGCAGUGGUGGGGGCCUUGGAGCCGAGGGGAAAAUUUAAAAGGGAUAGCAUCUCUGUUUUACCGCCGAAGAGCCUGCAUGCAUGUCCCAUCCUCAUCAGAGAGGAUAUAACGCUCAAUCUACAUGUGACGCCUAGAGAUUAGCCAGAGACAGCGAGAUCAUGAUGCAAGUGAAGAAAACAGAGGAAGAGGGCAGUGUAGUGCUGGUUUGCUUUCCCCUUCACUCCGGUCGCUGAUUUUAUCCCAUGCACUGUUGUCCGUCGCUAGCCUCCCUACCUGCUUGGCUCAUCCCUCCCCCAUCGGCACGGGCUACUCUCCCCCCUCUCUCUGCCCAAGCCUGGGGGAGCCAGUGGAGAUUAAAUGUAGCCUCUAUAAGCCAAGCACAUCAUGUAGCUGUGUUUCUAGGGCCUCUCUCUCUCUGUCUUUCUCUCUCACUUUCAUUCUCUUUUUAAAGGAUAGUGUUUAUGAUGCCAGGCAUGUGAUAGGGGUCUUCUAAAAUGUCAAUGUCAUCGGAAAUACCAAAUGUACAGAUAUUUUAAAGCAAUGAAGUAAAAAUGACAAAAAUCAUCAUGAAAGUCUGUCUUUUUCUAUACUAUUUCUCUUUCUCCACCUACAUCCUCCCCCUUCGGGUUGAUACUCCGGAGAAGUGGGCCUCCGGCUUUAAAUGAUCACAGCUGUGCGAGCAAAUUAAUGGAUGAUAUUUCUCUGUUUCCCCCCCUUUUUCCAACUUUUUUCAACAUGGAUUUAUAAAGAGGGAAAGACGGACCAGGGGUGUCACGCUUCUACGUUUCCCCCCCUCCUCUUUUCAGUUUUGCAUGCAUCUCAGUCUGCUCAACUCCGAGAGAGAGGAAGAGUGUGCAUGUGUGUGUCCUGGGAGAGAGAGAGAGCGAGAGAGAUGGUGAGGGAGGGAGAAAAUGAAAUGUAAGACAGAUACGGAGAGUGAAAGAGAAGAAGGGGGUGUGGAGAGAACGAGCUAGCGAGAGUGGAGAGCCAGUAACUCGGUGCAUUGAUGCAUUUGCUGCGUCUCAGUUGUGUUCUUUCGGGGCUUUUUGGCAGUAGCAGGCUGCCUGUUUUCCAUCAUCCAAUCGAGCCAGACCUGGAAUAGGGAUAUACGCGUGAACGGAGUUGCCGCGGCUGAGCAGCGCUGGACAAGUGAGGCUGCGAGAGAACUUCGAUCGGCUUAGUGUUCAUCCUCAUCCUCGCGCCAGGUACAUAACAAAUCAUCAAAGCUGGGAUUAAAAUUUCGUGAAGGAGCAGCUUUGACUGCUGAAAGACUUAAGCGUAUUAGCUUUAAAACCAAGAUGGGAGUUUCAAGUGAUGUAUGGCAGACUUCAAAGAUGUUUUAAUCUGUCAGUAGGCAUGCUCUUGCACAGGCUAUUUAUAUUAGGACACAGUGUUUCUGCCUGCACGUCCUAAUCAAUGGCUUCUACGGCUGGACUCAGCCUGAUGUUGAUGUUAACCAGUUAUUAAACAGCUGCACUUCCUCCAGAUUGUUUCCUUUAGAGUGGACUUUAGAGGUACGGCAUGCACUGAUUAUGAAUACAGAUUUGUCACAUAAAGGUUUUAUGAUUUAAUGGUCAUACACUGAUAAAAAUUAUUCUGUGGUGAAGUAAAUACUAUAGAAAAAACAAAUUUAAUUUCUACAUGAAAAAGUUAGUUCAGGCAAGAAUUGAAAAAACAAAGUGAAUUCUAUAUUAGUACUCAAUUCAAGCAUGUAGAAAUUGAAGCGUAAAUAUCAACAAUAUAAAAUGAAGUAAAACCUAUUCAACUUUUCUGAUACUGGUGUUCCCAUCAUGCACUGGGGCAUGAAUAAUUAAUAAGGUUGUUUUUUUUUUUUGUGCUGUUUUCGAGUUGUAUUUUCACUGUUUUAUCAUUGCUUUUGUUGUUAGGAUUUGUAACUUGCGAUUUUGUGACAUCAGGAGUUCUUUUUCUACUCAAAAACACAUUCACACUCAAAAAUGAUCUAUUGAAUGUUACUGUCAUUGUGUAUUGUGUACCAAGCAUUGAAGUCUCUGUGUUCAGGUGAGUGCUGCAUCACUUCUAUUAAAUAGAUAUAGUGUCUACAUAAUAUCUAUUGUAUCAUUUACUUAGAUGUUUCUGAGUAAAGCAUACACUUUAAAAGCAUGGUUUAAUUCAAUGUUAGAUUAUUUGAGUAAAAAGUGCUUUUUGUUAAAUUGACUUAACUUAGUUAAGUAGAUUUUACUUAAUUUUAUAUGUGAAAUUAAAUAUAAUUAAGUACUUAAUUUCCUUAUGAAUGUUAAUGUUAGACUUUACUUGAUAAUAACAGGUAAAUUGUACAGAGCAGUAGCAGUAAAAUUUACUUAAAAUAUGUUUGAUAAAAUCAUGUGUUGCUUGAUUUUAUCAGGUAAAUCCUACAAGUAAUUUUUUUCAGUGUAGCAUCACUCCUAUUCAUGCUGAUUCAUGCCGAUUCAUGCCCCCAAAAUGUAUUUGGAUACUUAAGUCACACUUAAAAAUUUAUGAAUUUCUUUGCAUUAUAUCGAUAUAUCAAACUAAGUGUCAUUUAUUUUAAAGAAAGAUAGCACAUACACACUUUUCGAGCAGGAAAAGUUUUGUUAGGUUAUUUGGACAAUUUCCGGUUGUCAGAUGUUAGUGUAACGUUCAUGGUUAUUGUGAUGAAUUACUGCUGUUAUUGACAUGAUAUCUAGCAGUUUCAGCAAUGCCCCUAUAUUUAAUUUGUAAAACUUUACAAUAAGGUUCAUUAGUUAAACAUGAAUGUAUUAACUAACAUGAACUAACCAUAAGCAAUAAAUUUGUUACUAUAUUUACUAAUCUUCAUUAAUGAAAAUACAGCUGUUCAUUGUUUGUUCACAGUGCAUUAACUAAUGUUAACAAGAUUUUAAUAAUAUAUUAGUAAAUGUUGAAAUUAACAUUAACAAAGAUUAAUAAAUGCUAUAAGUGCAGUUCAUUAUUAGUUCAUGUUAACUAAUGUAGUUAACUAAUGUUAACUAACGAACCUUAUUGUAAAGUUUUACCGUUUUUUCUUCCAUACAGUUAAUUUACAUGCAUAUUUAAUAAUCUUAUUAAAUGAGAAACUACAUGGAAUAGUUGUACUGUUACAAAAUUCAUUGGUUGCACUGCAGAACCAUUUAAAAUGAACUAUCAGAUGAAAAAUGGUGUUUACAAAAUUGUAUAAAACAAAAUAAAUGGUGGCUAUAGGACUUUCCACUUUAUAGAAAUCUAAAACUUAAAAUCUUGAUUAUGAAUUUAAAAAAUGUAAAUAAUAAAUGUUAAAAUGUUAUAACUGAAAUAGCACAGAAUUGGGAAGUUAUUUCCGGAGCUAUAGCUACUUGGUUUGAUAUUUUUAUCUACUGUAGCGUGAUUACAUUCAUAAAGUGACACUUAAGUGUCCAAAUACUUCUUGAGGACUUUUUUUAGGUUUAUUUCUUGCAGAAAAUUCUAAUAAUAUUGCAAAGACACAAUCUGUCUGUUACAUGUGAAAGUUUAUGUUAAAUUGACAAGACAAUUAUCAUUUCAGAUUUUGCCCAUUCAGGUUCAGCAGCAUCCAAAUGAAAGUGCUCUAUCUUGAUGACAUGGAAGAUAUUGUCAUUCUGUACAAAAUCUACAUAAAGUACCACUGCUUUUUAUGGCUCUGAUACAAAAUUCUUCAUUUAUUGAUUUAUCCCAAAAUAGCCUGGAUAAAAGGAGUAUAAAGUCAAAGCUUAGAAGUACAGGCCACUCUUUACAAUUCAAAAGUAGUAAAAACAUAUAGAACGGGAUCCAAAUGUCUGUUCCUUAGUGCUUCUAUUUUCCUAUCUACUUAAGGACAGUUUUAUUUUUAUUGCAAAUUAUAUUAUCAGCCUAACAAGUUUUUUGAACAUUAAAUAUUUCAUAAUGUCAUAAUGUUCCUUACUUUUUUAAAACUUAGUUUAUUCUCAGUUACAUUUCAGAUCUUCUUUGAGAACUUUUAGACCUCAUUGUUUAAUGCUUUUUUCUUUUCUUUCUCCUCAUCACUUUGUCUUUUCUGUGGAUUGGCAAACACUGUUAUUAAGCAUUAAAUGUGCACACACUUUAAUACUAUUUUAAUACUUAAUUACUGAAAGAGAAUUUAUACUUACAAUUGAAUUUACCCUCUUUCAGCUCCUACUGGGAAUUUUUAAAAUAUUGAAAGUGCAAACUCUACAGGUACUUUUAAUGUAGAGCAUUUUUUCUCUGUGAACACGACCAUGCUUAAGAUGAGGUUGAUGUUUUCCACUUUGAGAUUAUUCAUUUGUUUGUUUUGAGCUGUUCAUUUGUCAUCAGCAUGACUUCCGUAGUGUUAAAGAGGUUUAUACUCAGGAUGGAGAGAAAAACAAAGACAAACAUCUCAAUAUUGAAAAACACAGAUGUUUCCCUUCACAUUUCCCAUUUAUCCACUACAGUUAUAUACUGCUAAAUCGCCGUGAAAAGCACACAAGGAUUCUAUCGCUCUGUUUACCUGAAAGUGUUACAAACUGUUGGAAGUCACGCCCGCAUGAUUUUUGGAGCUGAAUGUUCGUUGGAGACAGUGAUGUCACUCUCCCUCAUUUUAAGUGAAAUGUGGCGCUGUGAUUUCAUGCAUCAAGGAAUCUGAAUGUGUUUUCUGUGCUAUAAAUAGCAGAUUAAGUCUAUUUCCAGAUCCAGAAAUAGGUUCUCUGGAAUUGGAUUCCAAGCCUUGCAGCACUUUUUUUAAACAAGCAAAUAUGCAGGACAUGCAUCUCCGUGUUGAAUUAAGAGUGCCACUUUUAAACAGACUUGGAGCCCUGCCACGUAUACAAGAUCAAUUCACCACUUUACAGUACAACACCAGAUCAGACAUAUGACUUACAGUUUUUUCUAGAUAACAGAAAUUGCUUAUAUUGUUAACACUUUACAAUAAGGUUUCAUUAGUUAACAUUAGUUAACAUAAACUAAGAAUGAACAAUACUUGUAUAACAUUUAUUAAUGUUAAUGUUAAUUUCAACAUUUAUUAAUUAUGGAAAUCAAAUGUAUUUGUUAACAUUAGUUAACGCACUGUGAACAUGAACAAACAAUGAACAGCUGGAUUUUAUUAACUAACAUUUACAAAUAUUAAUAAAUACUGUAACAAAUGUAUUGCUCAUUGUAAUACAUUAACAAAUGAACCUUAUUGUAAAGUGUUACCCUUAAAUUGAAAUGAACUUUAAUUGACUGCCAUUAGAUUAAAAAUUAGUUAGGAUUAAUCUCAUGACUUUAAUCAUUUUCUUUUGGGGAAAGCAAACCAAAUAGUAUUUGUUUUAUCUCUUGUCAGUUUGUCAUGAGCUGUAGGAGAAAUGUCAUACUUGAGUUUCUGGAAUUAAAUUCAGCACACAAAGAUUGUAAAUUACUUUAUAUUGAUUAAACAUCCUUUCUCUCAUUUAUAGAUAAACUUGCUGUUUAUUUAUGCAGAUCAGUCUAAAUUUUUGAUUGACAAAAAAAAAAAAAAAUUGCUAAAAGGAAAAGCUAUACUUGUUGAGUCUUAGUUAUUUUGAACUUGGUCUUUCAUUCACAGUAGCAGAUUCUUUUAGAAAUUGCAAUAAUGCCCACUUUAUUUUAAAAAAUAAGAAUAAUGCUUAAAUGAUAUCCAAUAUAUAAUCAAAAGAACCACUUUUCUGGUGUGGUGUUGAUAAAUGGGUACUAAAUGAUUAAAUAAAAGCAGUGAUAUUCAACAUGUUGAUGAAAUAUCAUAUACCAGAUAGAAAUAUAGAUAGAUAGAUACCAACAUUGUAUGUAUAUACUGUAUGUAUGUAUAUAUACACAUGAUAUGUUCACUUUUAUCUAAUUUAAUGAUAUUAUCUGACUUGCAUGUAAUAGUAUUUAAUAAUUGUAAGUAUUUAAUUCACUUCUCUGUUAUUAUUCAUGCAUGCAUGUGAUAUUAUCUCAUCAUUCCGGAACUGUUUAUUUGUAAAACUGCAUUUGUUGAAUAAUUUCUUUGAACAUAUUUGUGCCAUAACAGACUUUCAAAAAAAAAAAAUCUUUAAAAAGAAAAAUUAUAGUCCUUGAUUGGAAUUUUCUGCAUCAUAAAGCCGUUUUCCUGCUGUUUGUUUCCCUUUAAUUAUAUCAUAUGAUGCACAAGGACAAACAAAUGAUUUGUUUGCUUUAAUUAGUCUGAAAGCAUUUUUUCUUUCAAGUGCUAGGCUAAUUUUGCAAUUAUUUAAGUGCUAGGCUUAUUUAGUGUUUAUUUCAAUUUAAUUUACUUAAAAUUCUUUUUGAAAAGGUUUAAUUUAGCCAAAGUCAUAUGUAAACAAAGUAUUUUUCUGUUCAGUAAAUGGAUGCUACCCUCACCUGGGACUGUUCAAGGGCAUUAGAGAUCUGGCCGAGCCGACUGUACAUUCAUCCACACACACACACACCGAGGCGAUAUAGCGGAGCUGUGUGUGGUAGCGGCUGUGCGGCUUUGAUCUGUGCAUUUCCCUUGUCCUUUGUCAGAAGCAGCCUGAGAGGCAGAGAUGUGUGUGUGCUGCAGUACGGGGCUCCAUUGAAGUGUUAAGAGUGCACAACUUUCUUCCUCUUUUCUUCCUUCCCUACCGUCCUUUCUCGUAUUAUAAGAGUCUUUAUUAUGUGGGCAGAAAGUGAGGGAAAAACGGGAGGGUGCGUGAAGGGGAGGGGGGGCUCUCCUGUUUAUUAAUAUAGGAGGCAAGUUCCCACACACGGAACAAUGCGUUAGCCAAGCGAGGCGGCAUUGUCGGAGCGGCAGAAACUAGCCUACACCAUGCUGGAAGUCAACCGAAAAGAUGCACGUCAUGUGAUCGGCUCAUGUGUUUUACAAAACACUCCGCGCGGAAUAUGUUUGUUUCUCUGCGCGUGCGUGCGCUAUUCAUCAUAUUUUUUCUCUCUCCUUGUUGUAAACACCUUGAGCCACGAUCGUGAUUGACGCCAAACACAAGUCUUAAUACAGCAGACAUGCUGAUGGAAAGACUAACGCAGAGUCAGAGGAAAUUGCAGAUGGUAUUGGCCAAGUUCAAAUGCACUUUCGCCCCCCGUCCCUUCUUUUCCCUUCCUGCCAUUCUUCUCGCGGCACAAACGGCCGUCAACUAGGUAUGCGUUCAUUCAUUGUAUGCGGCAGGGGGUCCCUCACUUCAAACCGGCCCGUCUAAAGGAGGGCUGCGAAGUCCCACGGAGUCCCCUGAGCCGUGAGCGGAGCAGACAGGCGUGACUGGACCGGCAGACAUCAAAGUGGCUGGAGCCCUGCCCCUCCAUCCUGCCCACACCGUGCCCCGCUGCCCUCUCCGCCCGCCGGAACAGCCUUCAUUAGGACAUCGUUACAUGGGUCAAUGACAUAGAAGAGUGUCCGUGAUAAAGAAAAGGGAAAAGCCAAGCUCUUUGAAAUGUAUUUGUAUUCAUGCUGGUUUAAUAUGCUUUUGAAAAGCUUUUUAUGCUAUUUUCUGGACGUUUUUUGAUUUAAUGACUUAAAUUUGUGAUCAUCAAGUAAUUGAUUAAUGGUUAGCCUAUAGCUACUUUUCAAACUAUUUUUUAUUUAUUUUUUAACAAAUAUUGUUAAUGUUGUUAAAUCUCAAGGUGAUGGUAUUUUAUGCAAUUUUUAACUGUUUUUAUAAAACUUUUUUUUAUAAACAGAACUACGGAGCCCCGCACAUGACAUGCAAGAAAAACAAUUAAAUCGUGCGCAC